CCCCGAGUAGCAGCGGGCUCGUGGAAUCUGCUGUGAAUCUGCCGGGACCACCCGGUAAGCCUAAAUACCUAGUGUGACCGAUAGUGGAUAGUACCGUGAGGGAAUGGUGAAAAGUACCCCGGGAGGGGAGUGAAAGAGUUCCUGAAACUGUGCGCUUACAAUCCGUCAGAGCACCUUCUGUGUGUGUGAUGGCGUGCCUUUUGAAGAAUGAGCCUGCGAGUCAGCGGCAUGUCGCGAGGUUAACCCGUUUGGGGUAGUCGUAGCGAAAGCGAAUGCUAAUUGUGUGUUUUAAGUGGCAUGUCCUGGACCCGAAGCGGGGUGAUCUACCCAUGGCCAGUGUGAAGCAGCUGUAAGAGGUUGUGGAGGCGCGAACCCACGUAGGUUGAAAACUGCGGGGAUGAGUUGUGGGUAGGGGUGAAAGGCCAAUCAAACUCCGUGAUAGCUGGUUCUCCCCGAAAUGCAUUUAGGUGCAGCGUCGCGUAGGUGUGCCGGAGGUAGAGCUACUGGUUGGUUGAGCGGGACUAUCAUCUUAGCAAUGUCAGCCAAACUCCGAAUGCCGGUUUUACAUUGGUGCGCGGCAGUGAGACUGUGGGGGAUAAGCUUCAUAGUCGAGAGGGAAACAGCCCAGAUCGCCGGUUAAGGCCCCUAAGGGUGUGCUAAGUGGAAAAGGAUGUGUAAUCGCGAAGACAGCCAGGAGGUUGGCUUAGAAGCAGCCACCCUUGAAAGAGUGCGUAAUAGCUCACUGGUCGAGUGGUUGCGCGCCGACAAUUCAGUGGGGCUCAAGUACACCGCCGAAGCCGCGGCAUAUUUUU
rnacentral:rRNA from 1 species